CUCACAUUUUGCUUAGUUAAUUCCUUAACGAAUCGAUUUUUAACUCAAUUUCUAUUUUCUUAGGUACAUUGGAGUAAAUGAUGGUGAAAUGAGCAUUAGGUCCACACUUACCUAUAAAUGGUGGAGAAAAAUGGAAAUGUACUAAAAUGUCAAUUUUACACAUUUUCCUACUCCGGCUAGGAGAAACCAAGCCAAGCAAGGAAGAAGGAGCGGCCGCCGGACCAAAUGAACUUCAAAUGAGCUGAAACUUUCCAGAUUCAUUCUACACAUCCUAAGGAUCAUUUCUUAUGAAGAGUGCCAGAGCUAUAAUUGAGUGGAAGGCCUUCAAACAGUCAGCCCAAUUUCCUGCAGAAGCAAAACUGGAAAACUGGACCUGUAAGAGGUCCAGCAGCAUUUCCAGCCCAAAGGCAUGGAAAUAAAUUCUGAAAUUUUACCAAAAUGAUCUACACUCAUGGUAGAUCAUUUCAUAUGAAGAAGUCACGAGCCAAAACUGAAUUCCUGUUGGAGAAAUAAUUGAAGGAAUAAAAGGGCAGAAACUGACCUAAAACAGCUCAACACCACAUGUUCAAGUUUCCUACCCACAUGAAGAAAGCUAGAUGCUUUUCUCUUUUUCCUUGGAUAUAUUUUUCUGCUCCAAUAGAUCAUCAUCACUUCCAUACUUCUGCACCUUCAUGCCUUGCUUUCAUUUCAUCAUUACUCCAUCUUUUCCAUAUUUUACAAACCACUUUCAUUAUUUUUCUUCCAUUUAUCAUUUCACUCUUCUUUUUCUUCCCUAUAUAAACACCUUCUCCUCUCACUCUAAGUAGAUUCCUUCAUCCAUUUCAUCUUCUUUGUCUCUCCAUUUCCAUUCCAUUUUUCUCUCCAUUCUCUAGUUGCAAAAUUCUGCGUUUUCAAGUAAGAAGAAGGAGCCGGGAAUAUCAUAUCCUCCAUCGUCCACCUUGAAGGCUUGCUUCCAAGAUUCAAGAUUUCAACGUUUCAAGCACUCCAUCUCCAUCUCCAACUCACGGUGUGUACCCUCAAUCCCCGGAAUAGAACGAUCCCUAUUUGCUUAUACUACUAACGAUGUUUUCAGGGUUAAAUUAUGCGCUUGCUCAAAGCGUAUCAUUAUCCACCAUCGCAGCUGCAGAAACUUGCUCUACCGCAUUGCUCCCCGUCGAUAUGCGCCUUGCUUUGUGUUCCUCACACAGCAGCCCUGUAGCGAGACCCACACUCAAUUCCAUCAUCAUUACAGGUCUGCGCGCAGUCGUCCUGCUCCGAACACAUGCAGUACUUAGCUGCCAUGAAUGAUAUGCAGCCAAACUCCGCCAGCCCGACCCGACCGCCGGCUGCCAUUCCAGUCCUUCACGCUGAUUACCAGAAGCAGUCAACCAGCCUUGAUCUGUAACCUUACUCUCCGUCGCCGCCAAUCUCGCCAAGUAUUGGUUGGCCUUAAAUCGACCUCUAGACAGACGAACCCGGAACCACCAAUCUCUCGCCCACCGAACCUUGGGUCGCAUCAGAUCAGCCUGCCAAUCCAUCUUAUUCACAAUAUCCAUUUUACUCCGGUGAGAAGCAAACAUGGUGAUACAAGGUUUAGGGCUAGAUUUGGUGGUCGCCGCACAAGAUCGGCGUUGGAAGGCCAGCAGCACGUGGCUUAGGACGGAGGUCAUUGCAGGCUGCCAUUAACGGAGUGUAGAGCUCCAGAGGCUAGGGUUUGGGGAGAGAGCUAUUUGUUAGCUUGAAUGUGCCACUUAAGAGUCUGGUAUAGCUGUUAUAAUUGAUAAAAAUUUAAAUAUGACCUACAAAAUAACUAAGAAUCCUAGAUAGAGAGUCUGCUAAAGAUGUUAUUAGGGUUUUAUUCAAACACAUUGAGGAAUACGAUAAUUUGAGCAAUGGUAGUCGGUGAAUUAGUACUCUUUCUGAAUAGAAAUAAGGCUCCGUGUUUUCUUUGUGGAUAUAA